AACGUAGGAGACAAACGUUAUCCGGAGUUACUGGGCGUAAAGGGCGUGUAGGUGGUUUCGUAAGUCUGGCGUGAAAUUUUUCGGCUUAACCGGGAAAGGUCGUCGGAUACUGCGGAACUAGAGGACGGUAGAGGCGUGUGGAAUUCCGGGUGUAGUGGUGAAAUGCGUAGAGAUCCGGAGGAACACCAGUGGCGAAGGCGACACGCUGGGCCGUACCUGACGCUGAGGCGCGAAAGCGUGGGGAGCAAACAGG
rnacentral:rRNA from 1 species